ensembl:snRNA U6 U6 spliceosomal RNA
GUGCUUGCUUCGGCAGCACAUAUCCUAAAUUUGGAGAGAUACAGAGAAGAUUAGCAUAGCGCCUGCACAAGGAUGGCACGUAAAUUCAUGAAGUGUUCCAUAUUAAA